GGGCCGGUGGCGCAAUGGCAGCGCGCCGCAUUCGCAUUGCGGAGGUUGGGAGUUCAAGUCUCCUCCGGUCCACAA
rnacentral:tRNA from 1 species